UACGAAGGGGGCGAGCGUUGUCCGGAAUUACUGGGCGUAAAGGGCGCGUAGGCGGCUUGGUAAGUCGGGGGUGAAAUCCCCGGGCUCAACCUGGGAAUGGCAAUGGAUACUGGCGGGCUAGAGUGUGUCAGAGGAUGGUGGAAUUCCCGGUGUAGCGGUGAAAUGCGUAGAGAUCGGGAGGAACAUCAGUGGCGAAGGCGGCCAUCUGGGACAACACUGACGCUGAAGCACGAAAGCGUGGGGAGCAAACAGG
rnacentral:rRNA from 1 species